rnacentral:rRNA from 1 species
AAUCAACGCUGGCGGCGUGCCUAACACAUGCAAGUCGAACGCGAAAAUUCCUUCGGGAAUGAGUAGAGUGGCGUCCGGGUGAGUAACGCGUGGGUAAUCUACCUUCGGGUGGGGAAUAACCCAGGGAAACUUGGGCUAAUACCGCAUAAUGCAGCGGCUCGACAUCGAGAUAGUUGUUAAAGCAGCAAUGCGCCUGAGAAGNGCCUGCGUCUGAUUAGCUUGGGUA